CCUACGGGAGGCAGCAGUCGAGAAUCAUUCACAAUGGGGGAAACCCUGAUGGUGCGACGCCGCGUGGGGGAAUGAAGGUCUUCGGAUUGUAAACCCAUGUCAUGAGGGAGCAAAUUAAAAAGAUAGUACCACAAGAGGAAGAGACGGCUAACUCUGUGCCAGCAGCCGCGGUAAUACAGAGGUCUCAAGCGUUGUUCGGAAUCACUGGGCGUAAAGCGUGCGUAGGAUGUUUCGUAAGUCGUGUGUGAAAGGCGCGGACUCAACCCGCGGACGGCACAUGAUACUGCGAGACUAGAGUAAUGUCGGGGGAACCGGAAUUCUCGGUGUAGCAGUGAAAUGCGUAGAUAUCGAGAGGAACACUCGUGGCGAAGGCGGGUUCCUGGACAUUAACUGACGCUGAGGCACGAAGGCCAGGGGAGCGAAAGGGAUUAGAUACCCUGGUAGUC
rnacentral:rRNA from 1 species